GACAGGAAAGGAAGAAAUCAGGAGAUGCGGUAAGAUACAGAGGUCACGGUUGGAAAUCGGCCGAAUGGUGCUACUGUCAGGGAUCGGCCGAUUACCCUUUAAGGGUUCAUCUCCGCCUCGCCCGACCUUAGGUCCCAGGGCCGGAAUAGUCAGAGCCCCCGACAUGUGGGCCCUAAUCGGUUGUCCCUUGCCGAUAAAGUGAGUAGAAAUUGGCCGAUUAGGAGGCUGGAGCGAUUGGGCCGGUGUGG
rnacentral:lncRNA from 1 species